rnacentral:rRNA from 1 species
UACGUAGGGGGCAAGCGUUAUCCGGAAUCACUGGGCGUAAAGCGUGCGUAGGUGGUUGUUUAAGUGCGAUGUUAAAUCGUGGGGCUCAACCCUGUCGUUGCAUCGCAUACUGGGCAUCUAGAGGACGGCAGAGGCAAGUGGAAUUGGUAGUGUAGCAGUGAAAUGCGUAGAUAUUACCAGGAACACCAAUGGCGAAGGCAGCUUGCUGGGCCACUCCUGACACUGAGGUACGAAAGCGUGGGGAGCGAACAGG